CCUACGGGUGGCUGCAGUGGGGAAUAUUGCACAAUGGGCGCAAGCCUGAUGCAGCCAUGCCGCGUGUGUGAAGAAGGCCUUCAGGUUGUAAAGCACUUUCAGCGGGGAGGAAGGCGUUAAGGUUAAUAACCUUGGCGAUUGACGUUACCCGCAGAAGAAGCACCGGCUAACUCCGUGCCAGCAGCCGCGGUAAUACGGAGGGUGCAAGCGUUAAUCGGAAUUACUGGGCGUAAAGCGCACGCAGGCGGUCUGUCAAGUCGGAUGUGAAAUCCCCGGGCUCAACCUGGGAACUGCAUUCGAAACUGGCAGGCUAGAGUCUUGUAGAGGGGGGUAGAAUUCCAGGUGUAGCGGUGAAAUGCGUAGAGAUCUGGAGGAAUACCGGUGGCGAAGGCGGCCCCCUGGACAAAGACUGACGCUCAGGUGCGAAAGCGUGGGGAGCAAACAGGAUUAGAUACCCUUGUAGUC
rnacentral:rRNA from 1 species